AAGAAGAACAAAAGAAUAAAAGAAAGAACAAGAACCCUAGGUGGAGAAUUUCAAGAGAAAAAGUGUGGAAAAUCAAGGAAAACAAGUGCAAAAGGUAAGAUUUCUCAAUUUAAACUUGAAAUCUUUUUUCCUUAAGCAUUUCCCCUUAUUUUCCAUGGUUAAAUUUCAUGUUUUCAUGGUGAAUUCAUGGCUAGCCGAAUGGGUAUGGAGAGAGAAUGAUGUUGGAUUGAUUUGAUUUCAAGUUAUCUUAGUGUUUUUAGUUAGUUUACCAUGUCUAAAAGCAAAACAACAAGAAAAGAAUUCAUUUUCCCCAUCACCCAUCAAUGGCCGAACCUACCUUGUAUUGAGUGAGGAUGAAUUUGAUUUUUUAUUUUAAGAGAAUUGGUUAGAAAAUCUUAAAUUAUGGUAUGGAAAAGUAGUAGGAAAAAUCACGGUGUUAAUGCACCAUUAUUGACCGAAAAUUCUAAGAAGAAAAGUGAAGAUGGUUUUGCCAAAUUUUAGGUAUUUUGACUUGUGUUUGGUGAAUUAAGGUAUUGGAAAAGACAUGGAGCAAUUUGGAGCUAAAUUAGAGGAUUGGCCAAUUAAUCGGGUGAUAAGAUGAAUUAGGCCAAGAUCGGGUUUAGAUGGUUACCCGCGCAUUUUGCAUUCCAUAUCAUGCAUUAGUAGUCUAAAUUAGUUUAAUUUUGAUUUAGUACCAAUGUAGUAAGUUUCUCGAUUUUCUACUAUGUCAAGGUGGUGAGUCUUCCAAUAAAGGUAAGGAAAUUGCAUCCGAGGACCAGUAGUCAGAGCACUUCAAAAAUCCGCACUCUAGACAUUAUGAGUAAACUUACUAUCGUCUUAAUUAACUAGAGUGGUUUUUAUCCGAUUUUGUGAUUUUAUGAAAAAUGAGUUUAAAUGGUAAAUUUUUAGGUUUUAUAAACAAAAUGGGUUUAAAUAAAAUGAUUUCAUAAAAUUGUUUUAAAAUUGAAUGAUGGCUUUGAAAAUAGAGUAAUUGGAGACCAUUUGAUGUAUUGUGAAUUUAUGGUUCUAAUUAAUUGGCUUAUGACAAUAUUGACAUGAAUGGCUGAAUUGGUAUUUGUGUUGAAAUGUAUAAACUGUUGUUUGCCUUGAUAGGCUGGAUAAUGAUAAAAUUGCCAUAUCAUGCUGUUGAUUUUUUAUUGUAUUGUGGGUUUAGCUUGCUGUAGUGGGCUAGUUCUGUGGACUAGCCUAUUAGAAGGGCACGAAACCUGGUCAUAUUUUACCUCGGUUGGAGAGGCGAGUAGGGUAACUCCCGAGGUAUAACUUUAGAGUUCACUUCACGCCAAACCACCUCGUGAUGAUGAACUCCGCUAAUGCCAAGGAACAGCUAUAUUUUUAAAAUAAAAAUAUGAUUUAUGCGUACAUAACUUUUUAACAGCCUUGGCGGACUCGGUUGGGAUAGCCCUCAAUCAAGGCAUCCUUGAAAACUGGGCAUGAAAAUGAUUUUUGGCACGAGCCAAAGUUUUAAGAAAUUCAUAAGCCAUGUUGAUUACUAGAUUUAUAUGAAUUGAUCUUAUUUGAUUGAAAUGAAUUGAAAGGAGAUGAAUUACAAUAUAUUAAACUAUUUUAUCUGUUUCCAUUUACUCAACUUUAGAUAUUUUAGAUGGUAUCUGUUUACUCACUGGGAUUAUAUAAUCUCACCACCCUCUUUUCCACCAAUUUCAAGCUCAGUAUAGGUUGUAGAUAGUUGAUAUCGUCGAAGGCUACAGUUGGCUUUACUUCCUCAGAAACUGUAGGUUUCCAGGCUUUGUUCAUUUUUGUCAUUUGGGGGUCCACAUGUCACUAUAAAUUAAAUUUCAUACUCUAGUUAUCUUUACUAGUGUAUGUAGGAAUUUAUUUUGCUUUUACGCUGUAAAAAUUAUUUACGCAAUGUUCUAAAAAAAUAUUGUUUUAUAAGAAAAUAGAAUAUUUUGUUUCAUAUUUUUAUUUUAUUCUAAUAGUCAUAAUUUCACUUUAAA
rnacentral:lncRNA from 1 species